rnacentral:lncRNA from 1 species
CAACAACCCUGUGAGAUAAGUACUAUUAUCAUCUCCAUUCUAAGGAUGAGGAAACAGAGACGUAGAAAAGUUACUCAAGACUACUCAACUCAACUCAAACUUGCUCAGGACUAGAUGAUGGAGGUGCCCCUCUGAUACCACGUCAACCUGAACAAAACCCACACCGGUGACUGGAUCUAGCCCGGAGCCUGUGUGGAAACAGAAGAAUGGACGGGGUUAUUUCUGAAAAGCGUAGUGAAACUACAUUGCACACUAUUGCACGCAUGCUCUUUCUAUGGGUGUGAAUGUAGGUGCAUGCACAUAGGGUGGAGCGGAGCCCAUGCACGAGUACACAAAUGUAGUUAAGUGUACCUGAGGUGGUGUGAGCAUUUUCUAGGACUCUAUGCUUGAAGUUUCACUUCGUAAAUCUCUUUUACUGGCUGUACUCUGAAAGCCAAGGGCUGUGUAAUAAUUUACACUGCAUUGUCCUUCCUCUCUUGCUCCCUUUCACUUGCCUAGGAUGAAAAACUAAAGAUUGAUAGUGAUGUCCCUUUGGAGGAGCCACGAGUGUCGUUCAUCCCCACUCUGUCAGUCUAUCCCUCUACAGCAUUUCUUCUCACUCCACUCCUUCUGCUCUGCUCCACAGUUUUCUCCUCUUCUUCCCCAAAUCUUUUCCACUGACUCCUUCUGAAAUGUCCUCCUCAUUGGUGCAGCCACCCUGGAUUAAGUAGAAUGAGAAGGACUUUUCAGCUGACCCAAUCAUGAGGCUCAUAAAAGUCCUCUGCAGAGAUCCAAGCAACCCCAGAGAUCUCUUUCCUCCACUCAAAGCCAUUUCAGCCUGACUUUCAAAGGCUCCAGGGAAGGACUGUGUUGAAGAGAAGUUGUAAGAUGGGCAUCCUUGUCUUCUUCCUGACCUUGGAGAGAAAGCUUUCAGUUUUUUACCACUGAGUAUGAUAUUAUCUGUUACCAGCAGUUCUAUUCUUAAAUAUAUAUCCUGGAGAAAAUUCUCCACAUGCAUUCCUGGAGACGUAUACCACAAUGUUUAUAACAGUAUUGUUUGUAAAAAACAAAGACCUGAAAACAACUCAGCUAUCUAUUGACAGG